rnacentral:lncRNA from 1 species
GGAGGACACUACUGUGGAAUGUUUACUUCAACUCAGCACCGUGGUCUGCACUGAGGAGGGGUGUUUACAUACUGGGCAUCACAAAUUUGUUCCAACUUCCCAAAUUCAUGAUGCAAUUGACAUUGUAAAGCUGGGAUAUUGCUUAACCUGAAAUGGAUGCACAUGAAGCAGCAUUUCCAACAUAACUGCAAACAUACUAAACCUUCCUUAGCCUGAGAAGCCACCAAGAGCCCAGGCAUCUUCAGCCACUUGUUUAAAGUGUUUAUGGAAUGUCUGCUACAGGCACUGGGCAAGUUCAUGGGGAGCAAAUACUGCUAAGGUAUUGUUUGACUGAUGUGUUCAUAAAUAAGGGUGAAAAAGUGUGACAAAUCCUGCAAUUGUGAUAUAAAAUAUUAUAUGCAGGAGACAGAAGAAAUUAAGCAAUGGCUAGCAACACUGGAGGCUUCCUGAGUUUGGAGCGUCAUAUUGGCUACCUCGUUCGCUUACAGCAGUGGUUCUCAAAUUGUGAAUUGCAACUCCUGGGUCAACUGAACUUUCCACAGGAGUCACCCAAGACCAUCAGGAAUACCAGAUACUUAACAGCAUUUGAGUUACACUCUUGACUCACUUCGUUUGUUGUCAAUGAAGUUUCAAGAUUUUCAGGCAACAAGUCCUCUCACCCAGGCUCAGGGAACCCCGAAGAAGAGGAGUGGAAAGGCAGAAGAUGCUGGACGACGGGCGCAGUGCUGUGGACAUGACAUGGCUACCACACUCAUGAACUCAGCAGCUGGGGGUACUUGAACAAGAACUGCACGUGAUCAAGCCAGCUGAAAUCCUGGCAUUGAUGAGCCUAAAGGAUGAAACUGAAGACAAUGAUUGAAAAGUUCGAGAAAGCACAAUGCUACAUCUGUAGACCGUGUGUGUGUGUGUGUGUGUGUGUGUGUGUGUGUGUGUGUGUAUACGUACGUAUAAUUAUUGCUCACUGGCCAGGUCAGAUCUGCUGCAUGCUUUUAUUUGAAACAUUUAUUUCAAAUGUUUUAUUAA